UACAGAGGGUGCGAACGUUGCUCGGAAUUACUGAGCGUAAAACGCAUGUAGACGGGUCAGCAAGUCAGAUGUGAAAUCCCCAAGCUCAACCCGAGAACUGCAUCUGAAACUGCUGGUCUUGAGUACUGGAGAGAAUGGCGGAAUUCCUAGUGUAGAGGUGAAAUUCGUAGAUAUCAGGAGGAACACCAAUGGCGAAGGCAGCCACCUGGACAGUAACUGACGCUGAGAUGCGAAAGCGUAGAGAGCAAAC
rnacentral:rRNA from 1 species